CAAUAUGUGGGGACUGUAGUUACCCACACUUCCCCACCCCAAUUGUGGCCUCCCCCCCCAUGUGUCCCAUAGGUCCUGCUGCUACGACGGCCACGUCGUCAGGGGCUUCCCCCACUCCUGGGCCCAUCUAUGUGCCUGCAAUGGCCUCAGUGGUCACCUCCAGCUGACACAGGACAGGACUUAUGGGCUGGAGCCGGAUCCCAGUGGCCCCCCCGGGCAGCACGUCGCCCACCGGCUGCGGGACUGUGGGCUGAGACCCCCCCAGGGACCCCCGGAUGACGUGGGGACGGAGCUGCCAUGGCUGCAUAGGGUGGGUGGUACCGGGGUCCCCCCAUUGCCCCUGUGGGGUCCCAUUGCCCACUGGGUCCCAUUGUCAUAUUGGGGUCCAAUCCCCCCACUGGGUCCCAUUGCCCCACUGGGUCCCAUUGCCAUAUUGAGUCCCAUUGUCAUAUUGGGGUCCCAUUGUCAUAUUGGGGUCCCACUGCCCCACUGGGUCCCAUUGCCCCACUGGGUCCCAUUGCCAUAUUGAGUCCCAUUGCCAUAUUGGGGUCCCACUGCCAUAUUGGGGUCCCAUCACUCCACUGGGUCCCAUUGCCAUAUUGGGGUCCCAUUGCCAUAUUGGGGUCCCAUCACCCCACUGGGUCCCAUUGCCCCACUGGGUCCCAUUGCCAUAUUGGGGUCCCAUUGCCACCCUGGGGUCCCAUUGCCAUAUUGGGGUCCAAUCCCCCCACUGGGUCCCAUUGCCAUAUUGGGGUCCCAUUGCCCCACUGGGUCCCAUCACCCCAUUGGGUCUCAUCACCCCACUGGGUCCCAUUGCCAUAUUGGGGUCCCAUUGCCAUGGUGGGGUCCCAUUGCCAUAUUGGGUUCCCAUCCCCCCCCAUAUUGGGCUCCCAGCCCCAUUGAUUUCCUCCAUGUCCCCCCCCGCCCCCUUUUGCCCCCCCAGGCCAAACGAGCUCCAGCCCAGCAGCGCGUUGUGGAGCUGG
rnacentral:lncRNA from 1 species